UAACACAAGUAGUGUCUCAAAUAAUAACUUUACUCAUUCUACUUUAUUUUCCAGAUUCCUGGUGCCCCUGAUGAUGAAGCAGUCCGAAUAUUUUUAGAAUUUGAAAGAGUUGAAUCAGCAAUUAAAGCUGUUGUUGAUCUGAAUGGCAGGUAUUUUGGUGGACGAGUGGUAAAAGCAUGUUUCUACAAUUUGGAUAAAUUCAGGGUCUUGGAUUUGGCAGAGCAAGUUUGAUUUUUAAGAACUAACGUCAUUCCGAUGAUCCUCAAAUAAGCUACAGACUGGGCAGAAAAAGGCAUCAGCUCCAUAGCUGUUGGACACUGAGACUCUUGGAAGGACUUCUAAGGGAUAUGUUGAUUGAUCCCUUUUUUAUUUUGUGGUUUUUUAAUAUAGUAUAAAAAUCCUUUAAAAAAAA